ACCGGGACAACCACGUCCCACCACAUCGUACGCAUACCAAAUCCACUCUGAACAAAUGCCGGAGCAGUGACUCGAUUGAUAAUUGCGCUGCUCGUGCCGCUCCGACUUCCAGCACGACGGACACCGCAGAGCACCGGAGCGGCUCACCGCGCGGUGCUGCCGGGGGGAAGUGACAGCGGCGCGGUCCGAGUGAGAGGCGGCGGCGGCGGUCCAGGUGAAGAGAGCCGGCGACGGAGACUGUUCUGGGAAAAUCGCUCCGAAAUAAAACGUGGCUUCUCUCUUUUCUUUCGUUCCUCGCAGCCUCGUCUGUUUUUUGUUUAGUUUAUCGAAACUAGUCGCUUUUGUUUUUGUUGCUUUUCUGUCCUCCAGCAAAGAAGCACCGACCCGACCCGACCAGACCAGCCUCCUGCGCUCCGUCCCGCUAUUCUACACUAGGCAGUGGUUCUGGUGGCAUGGACAUGGCGCUCUUCCCCAGCAUCUCCACCCCGAGGGGAAUAGCCUACUGCUUUUACAACCCACGCUUUAUUUUCUUUUUUGUUAAUAUUUCGCAAUGCCCUACCGGCGGUGUUAAUGGCAGCCUACUAUUUCUCCAGUCUAACCCUUCGCUAGCCUCUGUCUCCCUGCUUUUUCUUUGUCCUGACUCUGGCUACCAGUCUCCCUCCUCCUCCUCUGCCUGCCUCUGCUGGCGGGGCUGCGGCGCAGACACACAUAAUAAAGCCAAGGCAGGCAGUGCUUGGCUGGAAAUGUAGCCGCGUCCCAGCAGGGGGAUGUGAGAGAAGGGUCCCGGCGGGGGAGCGCUCUGAUCCCGCAGGGAGCAGCUCGGCACAGCCCGGGUUGGCUGAGGCAGAGAGGCACGAGAGAGGCAGGCUGGGCUGGCGGAGAGAGAGCGAGCGAGAGAGAGAGGGGGAGCAGGGUGGAGAGUUAGGCAACAGCGCCCAGCCGUGGCCGAGUGACGCAACUACAACGGGGACCCUGAUAAUAGGAAGGGAGGCAGAGGGAAAAUAUGGACUUGGAUCAAAGGGGGAUUUGGAAGAGGCCCCCGAAGUUAGGACCGCGAAACAAAACGAGGGUUGUUACAACAGCACAAGUGAUCGAGUGGUUACGUCACCAGGUGCUGAGACAGGCCUGUAUCUACUUUUAAACUCUUAACAUUGCUCGGCUGUGGAAGGAUGUGCCAUACGCUACGUCAGCAACCGGGGGUCGCGACAUGUCAAUGCUGGAGCCCCAGUAAGGCCAUUGUUCGGUUGGGUUUCAUGGCCCCUCUUGUGUGGCUUCAUAGUGAGCCACUGCUACACGCAAUGUCUUUCAUACUCACUCAAAACCAGAGUUCCCAAAACAAUACAAAUGCCAGUGGAUUAAUGUAACACUGAGUGGAUACAAUACAACAACUUGAUUCAUGAGUGUGAUGCAAUGUUUUUGGUAAGUAGAAAUUAAGGCAGAGACCUAAAAAUGAUUGUUUCCCCUGAAAGCAGCCAUCAUUCCUCUUGUCGACAAAAUAGAAUAGUACGAUUCGGUCAAAGUUAAUCUGUUCAAUAUGCUAAGCCUGUCAAUGUUACGGACAUCCUUUACUUUAUAGUGUUGGUAUCCAUCUCUCUGCACAGCACCGGAAAAUAAUGUUGGAUGUGCACUUCUUCCCCUUUUCUAAGUGUUAUGUUAGAGGCAUUGCGAUCCCAAUGCAGGCAUCCGCCCUGUAGUGGCCAAUUUCCCACAUCAAAAAAACAUUCAAAGGAUUAAAUGUCAGCCAUUAUUCAUCUUGAAAAUGUUCCCUGUUCCUUGAGCGUUUAUCACUUCACUCAUUUGUGGCGGAUUAAUUUCUGUGGGACGGUUUCUGACAGGAUUAGUUUAAGCCUUUUCAUUUAGGCUGAGCAGAACCUUCCCGUGCAAAAUGAACAUUCUCCACACUUUCGAUCAAGACCACAUGAAAAUGCCUGCUCCUAUCCGGCUGUAGGCAUACACUAACAUAGAGCUGUGCGUUACAGAGAUGCACCGUACAGUGUUUAAAAUCUGCCCAGCCAUUUCUUUAAAAUAAAAUAAAAAUACCUGUGUC